rnacentral:rRNA from 1 species
UAGGGAAUCUUCCACAAUGGACGCAAGUCUGAUGGAGCAACGCCGCGUGAGUGAAGAAGGUUUUCGGAUCGUAAAGCUCUGUUGUUGGUGAAGAAGGAUAGAGGCAGUAACUGGUCUUUAUUUGACGGUAAUCAACCAGAAAGUCACGGCUAACUACGUGCCAGCAGCCGCGGUAAUACGUAGGUGGCAAGCGUUGUCCGGAUUUAUUGGGCGUAAAGCGAGCGCAGGCGGAAUGAUAAGUCUGAUGUGAAAGCCCACGGCUCAACCGUGGAACUGCAUCGGAAACUGUCAUUCUUGAGUGCAGAAGAGGAGAGUGGAAUUCCAUGUGUAGCGGAGGAAUGCGUAGAUAUAUGGAAGAACACCAGUGGCGAAGGCGGCUCUCUGGUCUGCAACUGACGCUGAGGCUCGAAAGCAUGGGUAGCGAACAGG